UGACGGGAUACACUGGGUAAGGUCACAUACAGGCUGGACGGGAUACAUACACAGGGUAAGAUCCCAUACAGGCUGGACUGGAUACACAGGGUAAGGUCACAUACAGGCUGGACGGGAUACACAGGGUAAGGUCACACACAGGCUUGACGUGAUACAUACACAGGGUAAGGUCACACACAGGCUUGACGGGAUACACUGGGUAAGAUCACAUACAGGCUGGAUAGGAUACAUACACAGGGUAAGAUCACAUACAGGCUGGACGGGAUACACAGGGUAAGGUCACACACAGGCUUGACGUGAUACAUACACAGGGUAAGAUCACAUACAGGCUGGACAGGAUACACAGGGUAAGAUCACAUACAGGCUGGACGGGAUACACAGGGUAAGGUCACAUACAGGCUGGACGGGAUACACUGGGUAAGGUCACAUACAGGCUGGACGGGAUACACAGGGUAAGGUCACAUACAGGCUGGACGGGAUACACAGGGUAAGGUCACAUACAGGCUGGACGGGAUACACAGGGUAAG